rnacentral:sRNA from 1 species
GUCGUAUCGGUUAGAUCGGGAUACUCAUCAAAUAAUACUGAAAACCGAGAAAGCAUCUUUUGCCAAUGGCGGGCCACAUUCUCCGCAAGGAGAUAGCAGUAAUGCCGGUGGAUUACAAAGGCGGGGAGCCCUCAAAACAUAUACAUUCGGAGUUUUCAUCACAUCAUCGGUACGACCCCU